UACAGAGGUCCCAAGCGUUGUUCGGAUUCAUUGGGCGUAAAGGGUGCGUAGGCGGCGCGGUAAGUCGGGUGUGAAAUCUCGGAGCUUAACUCCGAAACUGCAUUCGAUACUGCCGUGCUUGAGGACUGGAGAGGAGACUGGAAUUUACGGUGUAGCAGUGAAAUGCGUAGAGAUCGUAAGGAAGACCAGUGGCGAAGGCGGGUCUCUGGACAGUUCCUGACACUGAGGCACGAAGGCCAGGGGAGCAAACGGG
rnacentral:rRNA from 1 species